UAUAUAUUUUCUUUUUACAUUUUGAAUGAACAUGAGUAUGUGUCGGUCUGUGUGCAGAAAGUGAAAACACUAGCGAAAUUUACAAACGAAUACAACAGGAAAUGUGUGAGUUUACACAAUUUUAAUGAAAAAAUAUUCUGAUGACCAAGUUUAUAAUUUAAUGCAGACGUUUUGCACACCUUUUAAAAGCACGCAUGCUUGCAGCAAAACAACACAAAGUCUGGAAAAGGCAUGCUUCAUAUCUGAACAAAAAGUACAAAUGUACGGCAUUUAAUACACAUGGUCACCACGGCUUUAAAUUAAACGCUCACGAAACAUUUCCUGCAAAAUAUAAUGUAAAACAUCUAACUUAAAAGUGCAUUGGACACAAUUCAAUAUCACUUAUUUGCAAUUAUUCACAUAUUUACUUGAAGCCCCUAUCCUUUAAAACUAAUUGAACUUUUUCAAGUUUUCCAUUGUAGCAUACUGUACGUGUACUUGUGUGUGUUUUAGAUCAAGUAUAGUAUUUGGUUUGCAGACUGAGACAAGUUUAGUCGUCUAGGACGUUAGUAGCAUAACUACUAACAACAUAAAAAUAGUGAGCAUUCCAAAUUAAGCACAUUUUCAGCCUGUUUCAGCACGGUUAAUUAGCUAACGAAUAUUAUAGGCGAUAACCUGUAAAACGACGAGCACUUGCCUUGUGCGAUUGAAAAACGAAGCAGAUCGCAGUGCUUGGAAUUUGUCAGCAGUCAACCCACUCGAAUGAACACAUAAAUUCUGGAUAUUUAAAAUGUAAAAACUCUCCAUUUUACAAUAUGGUAUCCGUGUCGAUCCGUUUGAUUGGACUCAUCGAAAGCAACACUUAAAAUCUGAACAACAUACACAUAAAUUAACAUCACUGCAACAUAGAUAGCUCUUGCCUUGAUUGUAUAGCCAGUGUUUUUUUUUUUUCAAGGUCUAUGAUUAAAAUUCAACUUUGGAGUACAGGUGUCUACCGGGAGGCCCAGUUCGCAGGUGUCAGUGCACCGCGACCGACUGCAGCGACGCGGGGCCCGUCAGGGUCUCGCUCGGGGUGGCGGGGCUGCUUUGGCUGGUCGCUGUCUGCGGGGACGUCGGGCUCAGCGACUGGGGAGAGUUCGACAGGAAAGCGGGGAUGUGGUGAGGCAACGCCGCCGGAGUGGGCUUGAUCGGGACGGGGAUCGCCGGUAAGGUCUGUCCGCCGUGGCAAAGCGACUUGAUGGGCACACCGUAGGCACUGUAAUCGCUGCUGGUCAUGGAGAUGGGCGCCACGCUGUCCAUCACGCUAGUGCUGUACAUAUGGGGCCAGGCUGAGGUCAGCUGGUUGUGGAGGGGAUACCCGGUAGAGAACGCCAGCCCUCCUGGCACUUUAUACUCUCGAGCAAUUAUGUUCUCGAUGGCGAACGGGUGCUUGAACGUGGACGGCUGGGACACUCCCAGGUUGUAGCUGGACAUCUGGGGGAGGUGGGUGCCUAGGGCGCUGAGCCGGAGCUUGGCUUGCUGCUGGAGGUAGUGGGCAGCGUCCGAGGGCUUGCUGGGUGCCAGGUGCUCUGAUGUCAUCACCUUGAAGCGUUUGCGGCGUCGCAGGAAACUUCCGUUCUCGAACAUGUCGCCACAGCUGGGAUGGAGAGCCCAGAAGCUGCCCUUUCCGGGCUGAUCCGGGCGCCGGGGGAUUUUGAUGAAGCAGUCGUUGAACGAGAGGUUGUGGCGAAGGGAGUUCUGCCAGCGCUGGGUGUUUUCCCGAUAGUAAGGAAAGCGGUCCAUGAUAAACUUGUAGAUCUCGCUAAGUGGAAGCAUCUUCUCCGGACAGCUCUGGAUAGCCAUAGCGGUGAGGGAAAUGUAGGAGUACGGCGGUUUCUGGUCGCUGUAUGUGUUUCUCCCGGGUCUAGGCAUCCUGUCCAAAUACUGCGUUGGAAUUCAGCUGGAAGUCUGUCCUCGAGUAUUUUAUCGUUUUUUCUCUCUCUCUCUCCCUCUCUCUCUCUAAAGAGCGCCGAGAGUCGUCCUGUAAGUUCACUUCUCUGGAGCUAUGAACUCACAAAAGAAGAAGUAGUAGGGUUUCCUUCUUCACAGGCCAGCUUGAAUGGACCAGAUCCUGUCUCAAUCUUCGUCGUUCUUGAUAAGACUAAGAGCUAAGUGGCUGCCUCCAUGUCCUUCCUCUAACCAUCUGAUAGUUUUAUGUGGCGACAUGGGCAGAAAAAGACCCCUGUAGAGGCGCUUCAUUAAUGUGCCACUUCUUUGCUAUCACAUGACAAUCGCCUUGGGAGGAGGGGGCUGGGAGAAAGGCAUAAUCUGGUUUCAUUUACACCUAUUUACAUGGACACCUUGGGCCAAUAGAAAUCAUUUCCAUUUGAAGACAGUGCAAGGGGGUGAAAAGGCUCGGCAACCGGAAUUGAACUGCGAUGGCACCCGGUAACAGUGUGUGAAGGGCUCACCAAGGGCCACCUUUCCGCUUGGCGAGUUUGCAAUGCGAUGGACCACACAAGAGCUCGCGGAUUUUCUCAUAAUUUAUGCAAAUUUUCCACCAUAAAUCCACCAAUGAGACCCCUGACUGCUCUGACGGAUCGCGAAUAGAAUGAACCAUACAAGUGAUUAGAAGCAAUACGCAUUGUUUAUUUUGAUGCCUGUUUGGAAGAUGCAGGAGGGAAAAGAAAAGGGCCAGAGGAUCCCAAUUUUCCAGGCUUCUUUCACAUGAAGUUUUCAAGAGUUCUUCUGAGGGAAGCAACGUCGAGGUGGUGAAAAAGCAAGUAUUCUUCAAUGAAACUGCCAAUGAAUUCUGACAGCGCGACACAAAGUGUCCGACACCUUCUCAGUGAGAGAGAGGGAGAGAUUGUGUUUGCGUGUCUAGCGCUCAUAUAAACUAUGUAUUUCUCUGCCCAAAUGUUUACUCAGACAAGAAACAAUAGAAAAACAACUAUGUGACUGUCCUAGUGUUCGAGGAAGGAUGCACUUGAAAAUAACAAAUGCAGGAAAAAAUAUCACACUUCACAUUACCGUUUUCAAAUACAUCUUAAUAAAAUAAACACACAUCUAGGAGAGCGUUUCAACGUUUGUAGCUGAGGCGAGUUUGUUUCAAACUUUUAAUAUAAUAUUCACAUUUUGUUAAAAAUCUACAGCAUGAAUACUGUUGUUAAAGCUGACGACAACACCAAUUAAAAACAAAAACAUUUAUUGGUAUUUUUUUUUCGUGGUGAUAAAAUUUACUCGUCCAAAAUAACAAUAAGCCUAUACAAUUUAUCAUUUUAAACAUUUUAAUUAAAAAUAAUAAAAUUUAACUUAUUAAAAUAUACAUUUCGAAAAUAAACACUUAAAUUCUAACUGGACAAAAAAUAUGACACAAAUAUUAAAAUCAAAUUAGUGUGUGUGUGAUAGUCAAUUUCCUAUGCACCAUCCCAUUUCUCAGAUUGUCCAUCUUGGCUCUGCUGUAAUGCAAAGCGUUCCCGAAUCUUUUAGUUACACGUGUACCUUUAAAAUAUAUUUGCAGUAUUAUGUAAAUGAGCCCAGUAGACCGCGCGCUCCUCCGCUGAUCCUACAGACGCGCAGGCAAAUGUUUUCACAGUUAAUCGCGCGCACAAUGGCACAGUAUCAACCUGUGAUGAGGGACCACCCAACUCAUUGCACUUUCUCCGUUUUUUGCGGGAUAAAGUUUCCGGCAGCUGUCAUGGAAAUCAGCUUUGUCCUUAACUUAACGGUUAACCAAUGUGACGAGGACGAACCGUGUGUAUUUGUCCACUGAAGAUUUGCUGCUUUUUCUUCCCGCCAGCCCCGCGCGCUAUAAUGCGCUCAAAUGGCGCACUGCAAAUGCCACCACGAUUCUUGAAUGGCUCGAGUCCCUGCAGCAGUAGAUCAACUGUAUAAUGUGCGAGCGAGUUUGGUCAUUUGUACAAGCUGAACAAAGGUUGGUCUAAGCCAAAUUGCAUUGCACUUGUGAACCGGGGGCUCUAGUAUUAAGUAUCUUUUACGGCUGGGGGGACCGAGAACAGUUUUGUGUGCGUCUGAAAAAGGCAGAAAAACAAAGGCACUUUCAGAAGCAUCUUAAAGUAGAGUAGUGAGGCGUGACAUUCCCAGGGCGAUGGGACACAAAGGCUGAGGUCACGCGGAUGAAAAAGAGAAUCAAACAGCCACUUUCACACGUCUGCCCUCCGCCACACAAUAGGAAACAAAUGUUGUUAAAAGAGGAUCGAUGCCAUUCAUUGUAAGGCAGCGAAUGAUAGCAAAACAAUAUUGUCAAACUGAAUCAACUUUGGGAUAUGCUGCCACCCAGGAAAAAAGGGAGAGACAGGGGAGAAACUUUCGCUCUGCUUUUUGCAUCCAUGCAAGGAGCCGUCAACAGAGGCCAAACUACAGGAACAUUUUCACCAUCCCAUUUUCACCAAAAUAAAUAAAUAAAUAAAUAAAUAAAUAAAUAAAUUAAAUAAUAAUAAUAACUUAAGCUACUUAUGAAAUAUUUUAAUGACUCUAAAAAUGUCAAGUUGUGUAACUUACCCUCCCCCCGCCUCCCAAAACAAACAAACAAACAACAUUUUAACAUAUUAAAAUAUUUUUAAAUACAAAAAUCAUGAAUUAUUUAGUCUAAUUUCAGAAAAUGUACUCCAUGUGAUCUGAUCAAACCGUGCCUUGCCAUAAAACAGGCAAAAUAUAAAAAUAAAAACAAUAAUAUUUUGAAAAAAUAUAAUAACAUUUUAAAUAGUAUUAUCAAUAGAAACCGCUUUGCUUUUUCUACAAGGAAUAAAAAAUUAUACCAAUUAAUUAUACCAUUUAAAUAUUCCAGUCAUUUUUACAUGAUUAACGUUAUAGACAUACAAAUAAUUGGUUAUCGUCAGAUAUAUUCAUGUCAAUCAUCCAAAAGUAAUAUAAUAAAUAUUACUGGCAUAUAACUAUUAUUAUUAUUAUUAUUAUUAUUAUUAUUAUUAUUAUUAUUGCUGCAGCUGGCCGUUAGAGCAUGUCAUGCUGUCGAGCAGAACCCAGCUGAGCUCUCCGUCAACUCCGUGUGUAUUUCAUCGCAUUAUUAGCUUCAUCUUUCUGCAGGCAAUGUAGAUUUACCAAAGAACUAAUGAAUAAACAAACAGCAAUGGCUGGCGGUGUAAUUGACAUUGUUAAUGCAAACAUUUGUAUAAACAUGUAAUCAAAAUGACUAUUUCGAGACACUAACAACAGUGCAUCACAACUUAGGCUAUAAUAAUAUACGAUUUUUAUUAAAAACACGCUCUGAAUCAAUCAAGUUUGUUUAAUUCAUAAUGCAUUUGCGUGUAUUUAUUUUUAUGGUCAUUUUUUUUCUAUUUUUUUUUUUUCGUGCAUUAAACCCGAUCAGGUGCUCAGAACUCAGGCGGAUAGAGCUUUCACAGUUGCAGGUAACUGUCAGACCUUUACAUCUGACUCAUCCUACCUUUCCGAGUCCGACCAGCAUUGUUUUAAUGAAGUCUGCGGCAGUUUGCUUCCCCUGAGAUGUUUUAUGGUGCAAUUAAGAGCGUAUUUGCGAUGUGGCGUAUGAAUAUUCAAGAGAAUGUCAAUUAAUUAGCAGACAGAGGGCUCUCAUUACGAUGCUCAAAAGCCUAGCGAAACUACAGGGGAGGGGCUCGCGCGCCAAUCCAGUUAAACACUAUUAUCUCACACUGCCCUCAUUUGCUUGAUGGACUUUGUCUUAAUUAUGGGCUUAUGGUUUGUUAGCUGUAUCAUCACUUAACUUAAAGGAACCACAGUGCAAUUGCAUGCACACUAUAGCGAACAGACUGAGCUCAGCGUUUGUGUCUUAGAUAUAUAAAUUAUUAAUACAGCGUAUUUUAAAUGCUUAACGUUCAUGUUACAUAUGUAUAAUUAUUGUAUAUUAUAUUAUAUUAUUGUAUAUUGUAUAUACAUAUUGUUAACAUAUGUGUAAUUAUUGUAUACACGCUUCUAAUUACGCAUUGUUGUGUUAGUAUGAUAGCAG
ensembl:lncRNA